AUCCUCGGCCCUAGCAGCCGGGGAAUUUUGUGUCCUCCGAGGAACCGUCGUCUCGCGAGAUCGGUGACGCUCUUGGCGGAAGGCUCAGGUGCUUCAGGAAAGCUUGAGCAGACGGAGCCUUGGCAAGUGCGCUUCUGCUGUAGGUGCUGGUCCCACUUGCCUGAUCUCCGGAAAAGCAGUAGCUCGGUGGCUCAGAUGACAAAGAAUCUGCCUGCAAUGCGGGAGACAUGGGUUCGAUCCCUGGGUUGGGAAGAUCCCCUGGAGGAAGACAUGGCAACCCACUCCAGUAUUCUUGCCUGGAGAAUCCCCAUGGACAGAAGAGCCUGGCGGGUUACAGUCCAUGGGGUCACAAAGAGUCAGACGUGACUGAGCGACUAAGCACAGCACAGCACACCUAAUAUUGAUGAAGAUACAAAAGGUAACCAAGGCAGAAAUACAACUGAAUCCAUGACUGCUCAGCAGUCUCAGAGGCACCUACAGCUGGGACCAGGGAAACCUGCCUCCUCCUUAGAGCAAGUGUGCCUCACUGGCCUCAGGCACAUUCUACUUGACUGAGUCCCCCAGUCUCAACUGUGGUCCUCUUCCUGGCCACACCAUCAGGGGGAAGCUGGUGAGGAAGAGACAGAGUGAGGACAUAGAACAGUACAUAACUCAGCAAUCGGGAACUGGAAUCUGUGUGCCUGACCAGCAUCCUUCACUAACAGUGUUAAUCUCUCCCAUCACUCUCUCCUUGUUCCUUACUGUGUACGUUAAGUUGAUUCAGUAAACCAUGUGACUUAAGCAUCGUUUUUUGGUGUGUAAUCCUUUGUGUUCCAUGACCUCUGGAAUGACUUGCCUGGUAAUGUAUUUGGAGGCUACCAUUUUAUCAAGGUAACUUUCCACAAGGCACAGAGACUUAAAAGACUUCUGGUCUUCUCGUUUUAACUAGGCACAGCAACCCACUAUCUACAUGAACUCAUUUAAGCUCCAAACCUCUCCUCAUAGCUCACUAUUCUCUAUCUGCUACAGGCCUAACUUGUCUCUAAAGGACCAAAAACAUAAUACAUUUGGAUUAACUAACCUAAGUACGGAAGCUGCAACAACAAUGUUGUAUAUUUCUCUUUAUUGCCUCUACUAAAUGUCAGUCAAACUUCAGCAAAUAAUCUUGAUAAAAUAGUGCUAAAGUCUGGUUUGCAGCCACAUAAUAAAAAGAUGUAAGUUCAUGGGAAAUAGAGAACAUUAUUAGCUAUAUAAAAUAGAUAAGAAAUUAUGCAUGACUGAUUACAGUUUUUCUUUUUAAAAUUAAUGACUAAAUCAAAACAGGUACUUACUGAGAAUCACUCCCCAAACCCAAGAGUUGUUUAGAUAAAAGGUCCAGCUUGGUGACAAUGUUUCAACUAAAACUAUAACUAC